rnacentral:rRNA from 1 species
UACGUAGGGUGCAAGCGUUGUCCGGAAUUAUUGGGCGUAAAGAGCUCGUAGGCGGUCUGUCGCGUCUGCUGUGAAAACUCGGGGCUUAACCCCGGGCCUGUAGUGGGUACGGGCAGACUAGAGUGCGGUAGGGGAGACUGGAAUUCCUGGUGUAGCGGUGAAAUGCGCAGAUAUCAGGAGGAACACCGGUGGCGAAGGCGGGUCUCUGGGCCGUAACUGACGCUGAGGAGCGAAAGCGUGGGGAGCGAACAGG